rnacentral:rRNA from 1 species
UACGAAGGGUGCAAGCGUUACUCGGAAUUACUGGGCGUAAAGCGUGCGUAGGUGGUUUGUUAAGUCUGUUGUGAAAGCCCCGGGCUCAACCUGGGAAUGGCAAUGGAUACUGGCAAGCUAGAGUGCGGUAGAGGGUAGUGGAAUUCCCGGUGUAGCGGUGAAAUGCGUAGAGAUCGGGAGGAACACCAGUGGCGAAGGCGGCUACCUGGACCAGCACUGACACUGAGGCACGAAAGCGUGGGGGGCAAACAGG